rnacentral:rRNA from 1 species
GAUGAACGCUAGCGGCAGGCCUAACACAUGCAAGUCGAGGGGCAGCAUGGCGUAGCGAUACGCUGAUGGCGACCGGCGCACGGGUGCGUAACGCGUAUGCAACCUGUCCGGCGUAGGGGGGUAGCCCGUCGAAAGGCGGGGUAAUCCCGCAUGAACCGGUAUUCCCGCAUGGGGGUGCCGGCAAAGUGGAGACGCGGGGCCGGAGGGGCAUGCGUGCCAUUAGCUGGCUGGUGGGGUAACGGCCCACCAGGGCGAUGAUGGCUAGGGGGUCUGAGAGGAUGGUCCCCCACACUGGUACUGAGACACGGACCAGACUCCUACGGGAGGCAGCAGUCGAGAAUAGUCUACAAUGGCCGAAAGGCUGAUAGUGCGACGCCGCGUGAACGAAGAAGCCCUUCGGGGUGUAAAGUUCUUUUAUAUGUGAGCAGUGCUUUUCAUGUUAACAGCAUGGGGAGAGAGAUAUUAGCAAUAUGAAUAAGCAACGGCUAACU